GAUGAACGCUGGCGGCGUGCCUAAUACAUGCAAGUCGAGCGAACAGAUAAGGAGCUUGCUCCUUUGACGUUAGCGGCGGACGGGUGAGUAACACGUGGGUAACCUACCUAUAAGACUGGGAUAACUUCGGGAAACCGGAGCUAUACCGGAUAAUAUUUCGAACCGCAUGGUUCGAUAGUGAGAGAUGGUUUUGCUAUCACUUAUAGAUGGACCCGCGCCGUAUUAGCUAGUUGGUAAGGUAACGGCUUACCAAGGCGACGAUAAGUAGCCGACCUGAGAGGGUGAACGGCCACACUGGAACUGAGACACGGUCCAGACUCCUACGGGAGGCAGCAGUAGGGAAUCUUCCGCAAUGGGCGAAAGCCUGACGGAGCAACGCCGCGUGAGUGAUGAAGGUCUUCGGAUCGUAAAACUCUGUUAUUAGGGAAGAACAUACGUGUAAGUAACUGUGCACGUCUUGACGGUACCUAAUCAGAAAGCCACGGCUAACUACGUG
rnacentral:rRNA from 1 species